UAAGAAUAAAAUGGGACCGCAGUCCUACUACUCUUGAGGAGACGCCCCUAAAUAACAGCCAUUAAAUACUAAAUUUUAAAAUGUCAUGCUUCCAGUUGACCAUAUGUUAAUCAGAAAACAUAAUGUUUUAUUCAGACAGUCCACAUCAAUUCCCAGCAUUUCAAGUUAAAAUAUUUGGGGUUUUAAAUAAUUACUUGCAGAGGCAGAAAGCAGAGGAGAGCAAAUAAGAGUCUAAUAGGCAAAACUUCAACAUCAGCAGGAAAAGGAUGAGAUGAUAUGCCCAAGUGAUCUCAACAAAUGAACUCCAGCCAACAAUACUGAGGGACUUCCCCAUCUAGGUUCCAGGUGUAUGCUCUCCCAUACAGCAAUUAGUCUGAGAACAUGAGCAGGACAAGCCAACCACCUCUAAGAAGUUUUUCUUCUUGAUCGCCGAGGUUAGCUGUUCGGCACUGUCCCCAGCCAGAACCGCAGCGACUGAAGCGAGUUACGCUCUGCAUCUCAUUUUCCAAGAAGGCCUCUAUUUACAAAGUGUCACAGCCAUUUUCUUCUGGAUGGAAAUGCUGCCCUCAAGCUGCCAUUGUAACCUGAAACAAGGAUGCUUCAUUGCUUCAGAAAAGACUCUGGGGACUCUAAUUCAUAUAUUGCUGGUAUGUAGCAUCCUUCAUCAUUGUUUUGGCAUACCGCUUACAUUUUGAGAAAUAUAUGAAGAUAUGAAUAUUAAAUUGAGGAGUAUAAUGUUAAUAAGUAAGUACAGACUUUUCACACCUCUUAUUUUAACUUCAAUCUUAAUACUUAGCUAACAAAAACUCAAAAAUAGCUUCUUAAGAUAAGUAAACGGGCAUAAAAGUUGAUGAAUAUCUUUAAAUCACCAAAGGAAAAAGUAACAGAAAAAAGAGGAAUGCCCAUGAACACUAACUUGUGAUUCUUAGCUUUAACUACAAAGACUUAUGUCCUUGAUAUUAGUACAAAUAUCAAAAAGACUAACAACUGUAAGAAGAAUUACUCUAUGACAAAGGGCUAGUCCUGUCAAAGUAAUGAUAUUACAGCAGUAUAUCAACAGAAGAAUAGCCACACUAACAUCUAUCUAAUCUCCUAUCCUAUCUUCUGUUACAGCCAAUAAGGCUGGUUUGGAUGGAUUAUAAGUAUAUAUCAUACACUGGUAUUUCCCACAAUAGUCUUCCAGCUUCGAGCCAUCUGUAAUUUAGAGAUUUCAGAGCCAAAGCUGUAUAUUUGUAGUUAGCAUUUUUUCUCACAGCAAAUUCUGUUUUUUGGAAUCAAAAUAUUUGUUUCACAUCUCAAAUACUAAACCUAAACAUUGAGGUAAGUAAUUCCAUUGCUUACUUUCUUCUGUGUGAAAGAGGAGCCCUUCUGUGUUUUUCAGUCUGAACACCCACUGGAUUCCUUUGGAUUCCCAUUCAUACUAGAUAAUACUUCUAUCAUUCUAACUGCAUACGUUCCCAAUACUUUAGAAAAUAUUAAAGCAGUGAGUUGGCAUGCUUAUUUAUUUGUAGUAAAAAAAUCUAUUUUGACUUUGACAAAAAUGUAACAUUUCAAAUAGAUCUGGUGGAGGGAGCUGAAUGGACUCAGGACCUUAUUAUUUUAUAGUUGUAGCUGUGAAUUAAUAAGCUUUGUUAUUCUACAAAGUCUCUGUCAGUUUACCAGAGGUGAGUGAUUUUUGUCAAACACGAAGUUUAA
rnacentral:lncRNA from 1 species